rnacentral:rRNA from 1 species
GAUGAACGCUGGCGGCGUGCCUAAUACAUGCAAGUCGAGCGAACAGACGAGGAGCUUGCUCCUCUGACGUUAGCGGCGGACGGGUGAGUAACACGUGGAUAACCUACCUAUAAGACUGGGAUAACUUCGGGAAACCGGAGCUAAUACCGGAUAAUAUAUUGAACCGCAUGGUUCAAUAGUUAAAGACGGUUUUGCUGUCACUUAUAGAUGUAUCCGCGCCGCAUUAGCUAGUUGGUACGGUAACGGCUUACCAAGGCGACGAUGCGUAGCCGACCCGAGAGGGUGAUCGGCCACACUGGAACUGAGACACGGUCCAGACUCCUACGGGAGGCAGCAGCAGGGAAUCUUCCGCAAUGGGCGAAAGCCUGACGGAGCAACGCCGCGUGAGUGAUGAAGGUCUUCGGAUCGUAAAACUCUGUUAUUAGGGAAGAACAAAUGUGUAAGUAACUAUGCACGUCUUGACGGUACCUAAUCAGAAAGCCACGGCUAACUACGUG